rnacentral:rRNA from 1 species
GGGUAUCCAACGCCGCCGUGGCGAAGGUAACGCGUUAAGCGUUCCGUCUGGGGAGUACGGUCGCAAGGCUGAAACUCAAUGGAAUUGACGGGGGCCCGCACAAGCGGUGGAGCAUGUGGUUUAAUUCGACGCAACGCGAAGAACCUUACCUGGGCUCGAAAUGUAGUGGACCGGGGUAGAAAUAUCCCUUCCCCGCAAGGGGUUGCUAUAUAGGUGCUGCAUGGCUGUCGUCAGCUCGUGUCGUGAGAUGUUGGGUUAAGUCCCGCAACGAGCGCAACCCUUAUCUCCAGUUGCCACCAUUUAGUUGGGCACUCUGGCGAAUCCGCCUCGGAUAACGGGGAGGAAGGUGGGGAUGACGUCAAGUCCUCAUGGCCUUUAUGUCCAGGGCUACACACGUGCUACAAUGGCCGAUACAAACCGGUGCAAGCCCGCGAGGGGGAGCUAAUCGGAAAAAGUCGGCCUCAGUUCGGAUUACAGUCUGCAACUCGACUGCAUGAAGCUGGAAU